rnacentral:rRNA from 1 species
UACGUAGGGGGCAAGCGUUGUCCGGAAUCAUUGGGCGUAAAGCGCGUGUAGGCGGCUUGGUAAGUCUGCUCUGAAAGCCCGGGCUCAACCCUGGGAGGCGGGUGGAUACUGCUGAGCUCGAGUCCGGAAGAGGCGAGUGGAAUUCCUGGUGUAGCGGUGAAAUGCGCAGAUAUCAGGAGGAACACCAAUGGCGAAGGCAGCUCGCUGGGACGGUACUGGCGCUGAGACGCGAAGCGUGGGAGCG